UACGGAGGAUGCGAGCGUUAUCCGGAUUUAUUGGGUUUAAAGGGUGCGUAGGCGGCCUGCCAAGUCAGCGGUAAGAUUGCGGGGCUCAACCCCGUACAGCCGUUGAAACUGCCGGGCUCGAGUGGGCGAGAAGUAUGCGGAAUGCGUGGUGUAGCGGUGAAAUGCAUAGAUAUCACGCAGAACCCCGAUUGCGAAGGCAGCAUACCGGCGCCCUACUGACGCUGAGGCACGAAAGUGCGGGGAUCAAACAGG
rnacentral:rRNA from 1 species